UACGGAGGGUGCAAGCGUUGUCCGGAUUUAUUGGGUUUAAAGGGUGCGUAGGCGGUUUGGUAAGUCUUAUGUGAAAUCUACAGGCUCAACUUGUAGUCUGCAUGAGAAACUGCCGGGCUUGAGUGUGGGAGAGGUGAGUGGAAUUCCUGGUGUAGCGGUGAAAUGCGUAGAUAUCAGGAGGAACACCUGUGGCGAAAGCGGCUCACUGGACCAUAACUGACGCUGAUGCACGAAAGCUAGGGGAGCAAACAGG
rnacentral:rRNA from 1 species